rnacentral:rRNA from 1 species
UUUUAAGGGAAACUNGGUUGCUUAACACGUGCAAACCGAACGGAUCCAAGGAGCUUGCUCCUGAAGAUUAGUGGCAAACGGGUGAGUAAUAUAUAGGAAUCUACCUAGCAGUAAGGAAUAACCUUGGGAAACCAAAGCUAAUGCCAUAUAUUACCGGUUAGUUAACUCUAAUCGGGAAAGAUUUAUCGCUGUUAGAUGAGCCUGUAUCCCAUUAGCUUGUUGGUAGGGUAAUGGCCUACCAAGGCGAUGAUGGGUAGCUGGUCUGAGAGGAUGAUCAGCCACACUGGGACUGCGACACGGCCCAGACUCCUACGGGAGGCAGCAGUGGGGAAUAUUGGACAAUGGGCGAAAGCCUGAUCCAGCAAUACCACGUGAGUGAUGAAGGCCUUAGGGUUGUAAAACUCUUUUAGUGGGGAAGAUAAU